rnacentral:rRNA from 1 species
GAUGAACGCUGGCGGCGCGCCUAACACAUGCGAGUCGAACGAUUAAAGCACCUUCGGGUGUGUAUAAAGUGGCGAACGGCUGAGUAACACGUGGGCAACCUGCCCCUUUCAUUGGGAUAGCCACGGGAAACCGUGGAUAAUACCGAAUACUUCGAGACUUCCGCAUGGAAGACUCGAGAAAGCUCCGGCGGAGAGGGAUGGGCCCGCGGCCUGUUAGCUUGUUGGUGGGGUAACGGCCUACCAAGGCAAUGAUGGGUAGCUGGGUUGAGAGACCGACCAGCCAGAUUGGGACUGAGACACGGCCCAGACUCCUACGGGAGGCAGCAGUGGGGAAUCUUGCACAAUGGGCGAAAGCCUGAUGCAGCGACGCCGCGUGCGGGAUGAAGGCCUUCGGGUUGUAAACCGCCUUCAGCAGGGACGAGGCGAAAGUGACGGUACCUGCAGAAGAAGCCCCGGCUAACUACGUG